CUAGAUCUAACAAGAUUAAGUGAAUACCUAAAAUUGUGGUUAUUUUAUUUCGAUCUUUCCA
rnacentral:antisense_RNA from 1 species